CGGAUUUGACGUAAUGCACCCCCACGCCGGACACCCUAUGCGGCACAUGGCUCCUGAACGAGCAUUAACGACGACACGACGCGCACCUACACCCACCAUACCCAAGCAACCUCCUCGGCUGACCCCUCAUGGCCGGCCGAGGCAGGGGAAGGCGCUGACUGACACCCCCCAUACCCUGCGGCAGCUCAGCCUUCCACGCAACGACCACAACGACAGACGCC
rnacentral:lncRNA from 1 species